rnacentral:rRNA from 1 species
UGGGGAAUUUUGGACAAUGGGCGAAAGCCUGAUCCAGCAAUGCCGCGUGUGUGAAGAAGGCCUUCGGGUUGUAAAGCACUUUUGUCCGGAAAGAAAUCCUUGGCUCUAAUACAGUCGGGGGAUGACGGUACCGGAAGAAUAAGCACCGGCUAACUACGCGCCAGCAGCCGCGGUAAUACGUAGGGUGCAAGCGUUAAUCGGAAUUACUGGGCGUAAAGCGUGCGCAGGCGGUUUGCUAAGACCGAUGUGAAAUCCCCGGGCUCAACCUGGGAACUGCAUUGGUGACUGGCAGGCUAGAGUAUGGCAGAGGGGGGUAGAAUUCCACGUAUAGCAGUGAAAUGCGUAGAGAUGUGGAGGAAUACCGAUGGCGAAGGCAGCCCCCUGGGCCAAUACUGACGCUCAUGCACGAAAGCGUGGGGAGCAAACAGGAUUAGAUACCCUGGUAGUCCACGCCCUAAACGAUGUCAACUAGUUGUUGGGGAUUCAUUUCCUUAGUAACGUAGCUAACGCGUGAAGUUGACCGCCUGGGGAGUACGGUCGCAAGAUUAAAACUCAAAGGAAUUGACGGGGUCAUAGCUGUUU